rnacentral:rRNA from 1 species
GAGUUUGAUCAUGGCUCAGGAUGAACGCUAGCGGCAGGCUUAACACAUGCAAGUCGAGGGGUAUAGUUCUUCGGAAUUAGAGACCGGCGCACGGGUGCGUAACGCGUAUGCAAUCUACCUUUCACAGAGGGAUAGCCCAGAGAAAUUUGGAUUAAUACCUCAUAGUAUAACGACUCCGCAUGGGGAUGUUAUUAAAGUCACAGCGGUGAAAGAUGAGCAUGCGUCCCAUUAGCUAGUUGGUAAGGUAACGGCUUACCAAGGCUACGAUGGGUAGGGGUCCUGAGAGGGAGAUCCCCCACACUGGUACUGAGACACGGACCAGACUCCUACGGGAGGCAGCAGUGAGGAAUAUUGGACAAUGGGCGCAAGCCUGAUCCAGCCAUGCCGCGUGCAGGAUGACGGUCCUAUGGAUUGUAAACUGCUUUUGCACAGGAAGAAACAACGCUACGUGUAGCGUCUUGACGGUACUGUGAGAAUAAGGAUCGGCUAACUCCGUGCCA